rnacentral:rRNA from 1 species
UGGGGAAUAUUGCACAAUGGGCGAAAGCCUGAUGCAGCAACGCCGCGUGAGUGAUGAAGGCCUUCGGGUUGUAAAGCUCUGUCUUUUGGGACGAUAAUGACGGUACCAAAGGAGGAAGCCACGGCUAACUACGUGCCAGCAGCCGCGGUAAUACGUAGGUGGCAAGCGUUGUCCGGAUUUACUGGGCGUAAAGGAUGCGUAGGCGGAUUUUUAAGUGAGAUGUGAAAACCCUAAGCUUAACUUGGGGACUGCAUUUCAUACUGGAAAUCUAGAGUGCGGGAGAGGAGAAUGGAAUUCCUAGUGUAGCGGUGAAAUGCGUAGAGAUUAGGAAGAACACCAGUGGCGAAGGCGAUUCUCUGGACCGUAACUGACGCUGAGGCAUGAAAGCGUGGGUAGCAAACAGGAUUAGAUACCCUGGUAGUCCACGCCGUAAACGAUGAGUACUAGGUGUAGGAGGUAUCGACCCCUUCUGUGCCGCAGUUAACACAAUAAGUACUCCGCCUGGGAAGUACGAUCGCAAGAUUAAAAC